rnacentral:tRNA from 1 species
UCCCUGGUGGCUCAGACAGUAGAGAAUCUGCCUGCAAUGCAGCGGACCCAGGUUCAAUUCCUGGGUUGGGAA